CUUUAUAAAUAUACUUAACGUGAAUCUCAAUUAGUUAUAUUUGGAAUACUAUAUGCCCAGAAAAAGACAUGUCGUUGUUGGCCGCUUCAUAAGCCAGCUUUGCACUAUAUAUGUAUGCUAAAGAUAAUAGUGACUCAUCCUUCUCGUCCACUCGGACCCCAAUACUCCCACAUAACCCAUAUUCUAGAGCACAUAUUUCACGUUUUCAUUCACGUCCAUUUCAUGAAUACAUAACACCACCCAACCUUCCAACUUUUUUAUGCCUCCCCUUACUCCAAUCCUUUAUCUCUUUAAAUUUAGAUAUCAUUUGCAAAUUGCAAACUCCCCAACACCUCUUGUCUUUCUUGCCUUUCUUUUUCUUUUUCAAUCUGAUAAAUGUGUCCCAAACACGGACGUUUUAUUGCCUUUCUAUGUAGGAUUUUCUUAGUAUUAAUAAAGUAAAGUACUGUCUAAUCACCAUCAUCAUCGUACUUUGCUUUGUAUUAUAGCUCGAGAUAAUCAGACACCUUAUUGAAGAAAAAAACUAAAGAAAACAGAAAAAAGAAACUAGUUAUGAAUAAUCCCAAAGAUUGGCCAGAACCCAUAGUCCGGGUGCAAUCUUUAUCAGAUAGUGGCAUCUCAAAAAUUCCAGAUAGAUAUGUGAAGCCACCAACGGAGAGACCAAUAUCGUUAGGCAGGUCCAGCCUGCAGACUGAUGUUAACAUCCCGAUCAUUGAUCUUCAGGAAUUGUUUAACGAUAUUGAAAGCAGAAGGUUUAGUGGUCUUACAUCAUCAGUAGUUGAGCAAAUAUCAGAGGCAUGUAGAAACUGGGGUUUCUUCCAGGUGGUGAACCACGGGGUUCCUCCAGAGCUCAUAGACCAAGCCACAGAAGUAUGGCGAGAAUUCUUUCACCAGCCCAUGGAAGUGAAGCAGUCUUGUGCCAAUUCACCGAAGACGUACGAAGGUUAUGGCAGCCGCCUCGGUGUAAAGAAAGGAGCCAUUCUGGAUUGGAGUGACUAUUAUUUUCUUCACUAUCUUCCUUGUUCAUUGAAAGACCAAAAAAAGUGGCCUGCUCUUCCUGUUUAUUUAAGGGAAGUAAUUGAAGAGUAUUCAAAACAAGUGGUGAAUUUUGGGGGGCGUUUAAUGAAGGUAUUAUCAGCAAAUCUUGGAUUAAGAGAGGAUUACUUGCAAGAUGCAUUUGGAGGAGAAGAUAUUGGAGCAUGUUUAAGGGUUAAUUUUUACCCAAAAUGUCCACAACCAGAUUUAACCUUAGGUCUUUCUCCACAUUCGGAUCCUGGUGGCUUAACCAUUCUUCUCCCUGAUCAGCACGUCGCGGGCCUUCAAGUUCGCCGCAACGGCGACUGGAUUACUGUAAAACCCGCUUCGCAUGCUUUCAUUGUCAAUAUUGGUGAUCAAAUUCAGGAGAACGUGACCUCCUCCUCUUCGCUUCCAUCUAAAGGCAAAGCGGCAAUGCCUUCUCGUGCUGAGGAAUGCGUUCCAGAAUUCUUUGCAACGGCUUCCGAUUUCAAGGCGAGAGACCUUCUUCGAAGCUUGGGUGUCGUGAGCCUGUGUCUCAGUAUAUUAGCUUAGUAACAGACGUCGAAAGGGUGAGGACUGAUUGCCGCUGGGGGCGCGGUGCUUGUGGAGAUUCCUACCCGGGAGAAGGAUAUAACGACAUACAAAGCUGAUUUCCUCAGUGUGUAUACUUACCCAUUUACCCUUGGGCCGGUGGGGCCAUCCUUGCUUCCGAUAGACCCUGUGAUUCUCGACUUCUGCCAACGGUACCAAGUGACCCUCGACAAAAUUCACCCUUCAUUUUGGCACACUGUCUACAUGAUCAGGUACUAUGUGAACAUGACUGAGGAGAUGCCCUUCACCUUCGAUCACCUGAUCAAGAUGUACAACCCCCGUCUCUUCCGUGGGGGUCUAAUUAAGCUCCACUGCCGAGCUCCGAGGGCCUUUUUUGCUUGCAUCGAAGAAGUUGGGAAUGGUGGGUGGAUGAGCCACUUUGUUCGAGUAAGGACUUCGGACCUGAUCCCGGUGGAAAGGAUGUUGUUCCUCAAAAGGUGGAAUAUGGAACCCGUGGCAAUUUAUCCUGGCGCAAUCACGGACCUCUCGGGUUGGGUCGGCCGGCUGGACUCGAUUUGCCCAUAUGCCAAACGAGUGUGGUGUGACCUGUAUCGAGCUCGAUGGGAAGCUAAGGACCAUGGUUUGGGGGAGAUCCCCUUGAUGAAAGGAACAUCGCUUAGUGAAGAGGGUACUUUGGGACCUGAUGAAGGGAGGAAAAGACAAAGGGAACCAUCGAAUGAACCUCCAGAAUCCAAGAAGAUGAAGGUGGAAGAAACUAAGGUCGACCCAGAAACCCUAACUCUGAGAACAGCAGGAAGUCCCCGAGUUUAAGGUGAGGGGGAAAAUAAUUUCUUGAAAGCGUCUAAGGGAUGGGAAAACCUGACCGACCCUCAGGCCAUAGAGAUGGUGGCUCCUGAGCUGGAGCUCGAUGUUGUCGCAGUCCAACCUCGGAAUGGAGAGGCCACUGAGGGAGUAUCGGGCGAUGUCCCCGAGCCAGCCGAUGGCCAAAAUAUCCCUAGAGCUAGAACGCAUUCGGUAGAUGGUUUGGAGGAGCCCAGUUCUGGAGCCCUUCAUGGCCAAGAGAUGGCCUUGAUUGACCCUGCUAGUGUCGUUGUCGUGAGUGAUUCCCCUUAGGGAAUGACCUUACCCCCUAAGGGAAUGCAAGAUGUCCCGAAUGAAGAAUCUUCUGAUGCAGGGGUGCUUAUCGAAGACAGAGAGGCACCUAAAAAGCCUUCGACCGCUCCCGAGGGAAUUCCCGAGCUCGAUGCUUCACUCGUUUUCAGUGAGAUGAGCAGGCUUUGCGAGCAGCUAAGGUGCUUUAUAUUCAGACCUUGGCCCGGUUUUAGGCUGAGGUGACCCGUCAUGAGCGUGAGAAGGCUCAUCUUGUUGAACAGGUUACGUAGUUUCCUUUUGCUAUCGUCUAAAUGUUUGUAAGAUCCCAAUGUUUUAACAUCUUGGAUUUGAUUCACACAGUUUGAGAAGAAAGGUGCCCUACUGAGGGAGGAGCUCUAAGCCAAAGACUCUGAAGUCCUCGAACUCAAACGGCAUGUGAGAGAGAUAACCUCUAAGAGGGUUACCCUCCAGGAAGAGAUUGCCUUAGUCGGGCGUCAUCUUCAAGAUGUGAGGGUGGAUAGUGCCAAAUAUAUAAUUCUCCACUCUGAGUUAGUAGCUGCACUAUGCAGGAUCAAAACCGAAGCUGAGGCACUUAUAUCUACGCACAAAGAGGGUGUCGUAAUAAAUGCUCACAUCGGGAGAGUGCCUGAGGAGGCUGAACUGAAAUUGACUCGAGUCGUGGAGCACGCUCGGUUAGAAUCUCAGAGGCGAACUCUAGAGGACAUACAUACAAGGGAUAUCGAUUUGUCUGCCGAGCUUGAGAAGGUGAAGACCCUAGAGGAGAGAGCUGCUACCCUGUUUGCUUUUGGAGAUGCGUAGGGUUGUGGUUUAGAAGAUGACAAGAAUGGAGGCGGGAUUCCUUGAGGGGAAGAGGCUGUCGAAGGUCCUGGGACUGUAGCCGGAACCGUUGGGGCAUAACCUCCAGCGGAGCCGUCAAAGAUGCAGGCUUGAUGAUAGAUUAGGGUUCUGUUUGGCCCCUUCCUUGUAAGGAUUUUUCAAAAGCCUUGUAAAAGUACCUCUGCGAGCCAUAUGUAUAAUAGGCCUAUUGUUUUUACCAUUCUUUUCUCCUUUGUCCUUUGUCCUAUUGGGUCACUGUGACCUUCGAUUUUAGCGCUGGCGGUAGUGGCUCUUAUGCGUUUGGUCGAUGCGACCUUCAAUUUUAGUACUGGCAAUAGUGGCUCUUAUGCGUUGGGUUGGUACGACCUUUUGUAUAGUCUGAAAACAAUGGCUCUUACGCUUUUGCUCUUAGGUAUAUUUAAUUAACUAUUUUGGGUUUAGUGUCCGAAUCGAGUUUCGACUCAAGCUCAUUCGACCCUCAAGUUUUUGAAUUUAAAGCUGGUCCUUAGGAUCUUACAUGUUGGGUCGGUACAACCUUUUGCAUGGGCUGGCAACAAUGUCUCUUAUGCCUUGGGUCGAUGUGACCUUUUAUGUGGGCUGGCGAGAGUGUCUCUUACGCCUUGGGUCGAUGCGACCUUUUAUGUAGGCUUUAUUUUUCCCUUGAUAAGGAUUUUUUGAAAUAGUGUUUUCUUGACUCUUCAACGGUUUAAUAAAAAACCUCGAUUGUGAGUCAUUAUAUGGCGAUGAUCGAGCACCUCGGGAGGUUUGGCUCAGAGUCUGAAUAUCUCGAAGCUAGUGUUCAGGAGCUGACAUGCUCGAAGCUCUUUUGCCUAUGUCAAGGGUAGCCUAUUUAACCGGUU